rnacentral:rRNA from 1 species
AGAAUGACUCUCGGCAACGGAUAUCUAGGCUCUUGCAUCGAUGAAGAACGUAGCGAAAUGCGAUACUUGGUGUGAAUUGCAGAAUCCCGUGAACCAUCGAGUCUUUGAACGCAAGUUGCGCCCGAUGCCAUUAGGUUGAGGGCAGUCUGCCUGAGUGUCACAU